UACGGAGGAGGCAAGCGUUAUCCGGAAUUAUUGGGCGUAAAGCGUCCGCAGGUGGCGAUUCAAGUCUGCUGUCAAAGGUCGGGGCUUAACCCCGGGAAGGCAGUGGAAACUGAAUAGCUAGAAUGCGGUAGGGGCAGAGGAAAUUCCCGGUGUAGCGGUGAAAUGCGUAGAGAUCGGGAAGAACACCAGUGGCGAAAGCGCUCUGCUGGGCCUGCACUGACACUGAGGGACGAAAGCUAGGGGAGCGAAAGGG
rnacentral:rRNA from 1 species